rnacentral:rRNA from 1 species
UACAGAGGUGGCAAGCGUUGUUCGGAAUUACUGGGCGUAAAGGGCGCGUAGGCGGCCUUCUAAGUCAGACGUGAAAUCCCCCGGCUUAACCUGGGAACUGCGUCUGAUACUGGAGGGCUUGAGUGCGGGAGAGGGAUGUGGAAUUCCAGGUGUAGCGGUGAAAUGCGUAGAUAUCAGGAGGAACACCGGUGGCGAAGGCGGAUCUCUGGGCCGUAACUGACGCUGAGGAGCGAAAGCAUGGGGAGCGAACAGG